rnacentral:rRNA from 1 species
GGCUUAAUUCGAUGCAACGCGAAGAACCUUACCUGGGUUGAACUACGCAGGAAAAGCCACAGAGAUGUGGUGUCCGAAAGGGCCUGCGAUAGGUGGUGCAUGGCUGUCGUCAGCUCGUGUCGUGAGAUGUUGGGUUAAGUCCCGCAACGAGCGCAACCCUUAUCCUAUGUUGCCAGCGGGUUAUGCCGGGGACUCGUAGGAGACUGCCGGGGUCAACUCGGAGGAAGGUGGGGAUGACGUCAAGUCAUCAUGCCCCUUAUGUCCAGGGCUGCACACAUGCUACAAUGGCCGGUACAAAGGGCUGCUAUCCCGCGAAGGUGAGCGAAUCCCAGAAAGCCGGUCUCAGUUCGGAUUGGAGUCUGCAACUCGACUCCAUGAAGUCGGAGUCGCUAGUAAUCCCGGAUCAGCAACGCCGGGGUGAAUACGUUCCCGGGCCUUGUACACACCGCC